rnacentral:rRNA from 1 species
UACGAAGGGGGCUAGCGUUGCUCGGAAUCACUGGGCGUAAAGGGUGCGUAGGCGGGUCUUUAAGUCAGGGGUGAAAUCCUGGAGCUCAACUCCAGAACUGCCUUUGAUACUGAAGAUCUUGAGUCCGGGAGAGGUGAGUGGAACUGCGAGUGUAGAGGUGAAAUUCGUAGAUAUUCGCAAGAACACCGGUGGCGAAGGCGGCACUCGUCGAUCCAUGC